rnacentral:rRNA from 1 species
AACGAACGCUGGCGGCAUGCCUAACACAUGCAAGUCGAACGAGACCUUCGGGUCUAGUGCCGCACGGCUGCGUAACGCGUGGGAACCUGCCCUUAGGUUCGGAGUAACUCCCUGAAGGGGGUGAUAAUCCGGAAUAAUGUCCUAGGACCACAGAUUGAUGGCCUUUGGAUGGGCGCGCGUUGGAUUACCUUGUUGGUAGGGUAAAAGCCUACGAAGGCGACGAUCCAUAGCUGGGCAGGGAGGAUGAUCAGCCACACUGGGACUGGGACACGGCCCAGACUCCUACGGGAGGCAGCAGUGGGUAAUAUUGGACAGUGGGCGAAAGCCUGAACCAGCAAGGCCGCGUGAGUGAUGAAGGCCUGAGGGUUGUAAAGCUCUUUUACCCGGGAGGAUAUUGACAGUACCGGGAGAAUAAGCUCCGGCUAACUCCGUG